rnacentral:lncRNA from 14 species
CCCUAGUCCAGCAGACAUGUACACAGUUCUUGCUGUCAUGAAGAAAGGCAAAGGGAGUUCCUGUCAAAGGUCCUUACUAGUCACCACAGCUGAUCACAGUUCCAGAAAUUUCUCCACCUAGGCGCUCAAUCACCUGGCCUCUCCAGUACCUCUGGCUUGCAUCGAGUGGCAUCU